UUCUCUGGCUGUUCCCUAGCAACCCAAGCAGCUCUGCAAUCCACGGCUCCACAGCUCCACGGCUCCACGGCUCCACGGCAGACGCCCUUCCAUCCAUUUGCACUGAGGCAUUCGGCUUUAGGUGCUCUGGGAUGCUUUCUAAUGUCCCUUCAAUGAUCCACGAAGCCAUUUGCUUAUGAAAUCUCCCUGCCUCCCACCCCGCCCUUACGCCAGCAUUUAGCGCAGUGAACCUUCUGCAGCAGGCGGGAAACUGCAGAUGCAGUGGAAAAAAAUACCCCAGCUUGCCGAGUUGCCAAUUAGUCUCUCUUCCCACGGUGUGCCGGCAUCCCCACAGGAGGAGACCCACAGGGUGGACACUGAGGUCCUCGGAAAGCUCAGCGGUGAUGAAUAAGGCUUCUGGCUCUCUUGGGACUUGGCUGGUUAUUUUGUAGGAAAUUGAAUUUCUUGGUCAUGUCUAAGUGAGCCCUAAGCAAGAGUCUCUGCUUGCUGCCAAUGGAACGUUGCACGCCUGGAACACCGGAGAGAGCUCAUUCCCACUGACGGGUGGGUUUCCGGGGAGUCUCCAAUCCUGUAUUUCGUGGCCGUGUGAGCACAAGUCACCUUUGCUCUGUUAAGCAGCCACUCGCCCUAGGGACCCACAGGGUUGAGUAGGCAACUCAAGUCCUGGCUGUUUUCCGGAGAAGCUGCUCUCCAGCACAACUGAACUUCCCACUCUUGAUGCGGUGCUGGCUUUCAGGAUCCAACCACAGGAUUCUACAAGCAGCUCCAAAGAGGGGUGUGCAGGCCAGUGAGGGGAAUGUACAAAUCCCAAGCAGCAGGAAGAGGAACCAGAAACAAAUCCAGGCCCGGGCAGGAAGGCAGCAGCAGAGUAAGCCUGCCCUGGGGUUAAGGAGCAGCAAAAGGACCCUGCCAGCAAGGAGGAGGCCAGCGAGGAGGAGUCCUUCUGAAGAGCGCACUCACAGCGGCUCAUUCAUUACGGCUCUAAUAACAGCGGCAGGCAUUAAAGCACCAGGCUGCGGAGGAACCGGCCUCUGCAGCUGUGGAAAGCCAAUACCUUUUUAAAUACAUUUACACAGCAAUAAAUAAAAGCGGUCUCAGUUUACCUCUUUAUUAAACUCUAUUUGCUCGUCGGAGU